CGAAACACGUAGUACGUGACUCCUCCCAAAAUAUUAUUAAAUAAUAAAUACCCCUCUCCCUCUCCCUGCCUUCUCUGCUCUCUCGCCCUUCUCCUCCUCAUUUUUCUUUCCCCUCACCAUAAUCGAUCUCAUUUCUCUAUUACAACAUUUCUCCACACAGAAUCACCUCGUCUCUGUCCCAAUUGGGGUCCCACUUCGCGACCGGAGUCUCAGAAACGGAGUCGGAGCCCUAACCCGCACCCGAGUUCCAGAAACUUCCGGCAAUGCAGGUAAAGUUUCAAGAUCAAAUCUCCACUCUCCCGCCUCCUAUAUAAAUCACCAUCUCCCGAGUUCCCUUUUUCUAUUCAUUUUACCCCCCAAAAAUUCUUCAAAAUGUAAGGGGGGAAAAGAGUAAAUUUCUGUAAUUUUCCGCGAAUUUCACGAAGCUAACGAAUCGAUUUAGUGUUUUUAGCUCGAUCGUCGCAGGAACGAUGGAAACUGUUCUUGCUUCCAUGACGAUCGUUCAGAAGCGGAAGCUGGUUUUUGCAAUUUGGGGGUAGUUUUAAGUCCUCUUUUCAAGAAAUCUGGCUCGUGAUUUUUCUUUGUUUCUGUAGAGGACAAGUAUAAUUGCUGUACAAUUUUCCCCCCUUCAAAUUGCAGCACAAUUUUUGCCCCCUUUAAAUUGCAGCAAAUGAGGUUAUUGGUCCAUGCAAUCUUAGCCUCAUUGAAGCGAAGCCAUAUAUGUUUUAGCAUAAUGCCUAACCAAUGACAAUAGAGGAGUAUUAAUUGCGAUAUUACUUGGCAAAUUGUAAUAAGUCGUUAUCUUUA